ensembl:lncRNA
UUAGUUGUUGGGGUUCUUUUCUUUGGUUUUCUUUUCUCCUGCCGGUGUCUCGCCGGUCGGCGUCUCUAGACGCCAUGGUAAAUGGAGACACGUUCUCCCAGCUCACGAGGAAGCACGGCAUCAAGAUCGCCGCGGGCUUCCCGUGCAGCGUGGAGGACAUCGGGUUGGUUGUGGGGGAGAAGGUCGGGCACGGCAGCGUUAAGUCGGCCUCGCGCAUGAACGGCGCCGUGGUCAUCUUCCUGGACCAGGUGGAGAAGGUGAACCGUGUCGUGGAGGCGGGCCUCACGGUGAAAGAAUUGUUUGUCCAGGUGUUGCCAUUAACGCAACCGGCAACAAAAAUCGUACUAUCAAAUGUCCCUCCGUUCAUCACCGACGAGUUCCUCAGUAGAGAGCUGUCCAGACACGGAAAGGUGGUUUCACCGAUCAAAAAGAUCUUGUCUGGAUGUAAGUCUCAGUUACUGAAGCACGUGGUGUCUCACCGCAGACACCUGUAUAUGAUCCUUAACAACCGGAAUGUGGAGCUCAACCUCCGCUUCCAUGUUAAGGUAGAUGAUUAUGAAUACGUGAUUUUUGCAACAUCCUCGUCGAUGAAGGGUUUUUAAGUAACAGCCAACAAAAAAAAAUGUACGGUGCUGAAAAAAUAAGUAUGUUUUUAAAGAAAACAAAAGUGAAAAAGGGGGUAGAGGUCAUAGAUUUCUUCCCCGAUCUUAACUUGUUUUAUAUUUCUGCCAGACACCAUAUGAGCCGGAGGGAAGAGUCCGGCCUCACUGAGCAGGAGGGCUACAGAUUAAAGAAGCUCCUAGGGAAAGUACGCAGAGCAAUCAACAAGGGCAAUGUCGAAAUCUCCAAUGUGUGUUUUAAUUAAUUUAUUGGUUUUUAUUUUUGGUGCAAACUUACUCACAAUGAAUUUUUUUAAAAGCAUCUAUUUAUGAAUUAAAAAAAUUGAAGUGUAUUGAUGUUCUCUUCUUACAAGAAACUCACAGCGACAGCACCAACGAGGCCGACUGGAUGAGGGAGUGGGAAGGGGAAGUCCUCCUAAGCCACAAUACCAACCUCAGUGGAGGAGUGGGCUUCCUCUUCUCCAGGUCUUUUAAUCCACUGUCACUGGAGGUCAAACACAUCAUCGAGGGGAGGUUGUUCUUAGUCAAGGCACGGUUCGACCUUUUUACUGUUGUUUUUAUCAAUGUGUAUGCUCCAACAAUCGGUGCAGAGAGGAAGCUGUUUUUACAAAAAAUUGAUAAUGUUUUAAAUGGCUGUGCCCCGGAGGAUUUUUUAUUUUUGGGGGGGGAUUUUAACUGUACGGAAAAUGAUUUGAAAGACCGUAAUCACGCAGAGCCACAUCCAGCUUCCCAGCGCGUUCUGAGGCAGCUGGUCCAAUCUCAUGGCCUGGUGGAUGUGUGGAGAAGGAUGCAUGCAGACUGCCGACAGUACACGUGGUCCCUUUUUAGAGAAGGUAGAAUCUCCUCAGCCAGGUUAGAUCGUUUUUAUGUUUUUAAGCAACAUUUUAAUAUUUUUAAGAUGUGCAGUAUUGUCCCUGCUGUUUUUACUGAUCAUUCUUUGCUUUUAUGUAAUGUUUUUAUUGGAAACGUUUUACCUAGAAGUGCAUAUUGGCAUUUUAACUCUGUAUUAACUUGUGAUAAAAAUUUUAGAGAGGUCUUUGUAUACUUCUGGGGUGUUUUUAGGCUGAGGAAGAGUGAGUUUAGCAGUCUUAAACAGUGGUGGGACCACGGAAAGAUUGAGAUUGGGCUCCUCUGUCAACAGCACACCUUCAACGUCACCAGAGACAUCGCUAGAUCUAUGAAGGAGAAAAACUGAGAUAGUGGAACUAGAACAUUUAAGCGAGUCCACAGGAGAUCGAGGACAUUUUGAAGUCCUCAAAGGGAAAAAAAUGGCUCUGGCCGACCUGUUUAACGUUAAAGUCCAGGGUGCACUGGUCAGGUCCCGAUUUCAGACCAUCACAGAGAUGGACACUCCCUCUAGCUUCUUCUUCGGCCUGGAGAAGAAGAGUGGGCAGGGGAGGGUGAUCCACUCACUGUUAGGUGACGCAGGGCAGCCAGUUGUGGAACCAUGCCAGAUUAGGAGGCGAGCUGUGGCUUUCUUCUCCUCCCUAUAUACCAGUGAGUACGGGGAGGAGGAGGCACUGAUGGAGGAGCUCUGCAGUGAGCUUCCUCAGGUCCAGGAGGAGACCAACGCAAUGCUUGACAGGCCAAUAAGCCCAGGGGAGCUGAGGGCCGCCUUGAUGGGCAUGCAGGGAGGGCGUGCCCCGGGAAU